UACGUAGGGUGCGAGCGUUAAUCGGAAUUACUGGGCGUAAAGCGUGCGCAGGCGGUUCGUUGUGUCGGCGGUGAAAGCCCCGGGCUCAACCUGGGAAUGGCCGUUGAAACUGGCGAACUGGAGUGUGGCAGAGGGGGGGUAGAAUUCCACGUGUAGCAGUGAAAUGCGUAGAUAUGUGGAGGAACACCGAUGGCGAAGGCAGCCCCCUGGGUUAACACUGACGCUCAUGCACGAAAGCGUGGGGAGCAAACAGG
rnacentral:rRNA from 1 species